rnacentral:rRNA from 1 species
UACGUAGGGUGCAGGCGUUAAUCGGAAUUACUGGGCGUAAAGCGUGCGCAGGCGGCUUCUUAAGUCAGAUGUGAAAGCCCCGGGCUUAACCUGGGUACUGCGUUUGAAACUGGGAGACUUGAGUGUGGCAGAGGGGGGUGGAAUUCCACGUGUAGCAGUGAAAUGCGUAGAUAUGUGGAGGAACACCGAUGGCGAAGGCAGCCCCCUGGGUUAACACUGACGCUCAUGCACGAAAGCGUGGGGAGCAAACAGG